rnacentral:rRNA from 1 species
CCCACCAUCCCGGCUCGGUUUUGGUUUGAGCUCUUUUGGCUCAACCAGGCGGGUUUCCACGAGGCGGUCGUGGCCCGGUGGGUCACCGCGCGCACUUCCCCCUAGCGUGCCAUGUCGGCCGUGGACUCGUGGCAGUUCUGUGCCAAGCUCGCCCGCCAAUUCAUGAAGGGUUGGGGUGCCAACCUUGGCAGAGACCUCCGCAAGCACAAGAAAGCCCUCCUGACUGCCAUCCAGGCCUUGGACACCCGUGCGGACACUACCGGGAUCUCCCCGGAUGAGUGGAUGCUGCGAUAUGAUCUUGAGGAUCAGCUCUCUACCAUUUAUAGGGACGAAGAAGCUUAUUGGAGGCUCCGCGGUACCCAACGUUGGGUGCUUCGGGGAGAUGCUAAUACGGCGUAUUUCCAGGCGAUCGCGGGGCGGCGGCGACGGAAUUCCAUCCAUUGCCUUUGGGAUGGUGAUUCCCAGCUUGUCUGCCCAUCGGACAUUCAUGCGCACGUCGAUGGCUUCUAUAAAGCCCUAUUCUCCCCCACCCUUCGGGGUGGGGCCCUGGCCCCCCACAUCUGGUCGGGUGCCCAGCUUGUCUCCAAUGCGGCUAACGCCGCCUUAGUUGCUCCGUUCUCCGAGGACGAGGUCCUUGUGGCAAUUAAGGGUAUGAACCCCUCCUCAGCCCCGGGACCGGAUGGACUGCCCGUGUCCUUCUUUAAAGCGUUUUGGCAGACCAUCAAACCUGAGGUCAUGGCUCUCUUCGACGAAUUCUUCUUGGGGACCAUAGACCUCAGGCGGCUUAACUAUGGGGUCAUCACGCUCAUCCCCAAAGUCCCGGGCGCGGCUGACAUCUGCCAGUUCCGACCUAUCACUGUGAUCAAUGUGACACUACUAGGGAAAACCUUACCAGUAGCGCUGGUUUUUGAGCUACCAGUAGCGCGGCACCAACGCUACUGCUAUGGCGCUACAACUAUUUUGUAG